UGUGGGUGUGUAUCUGCCUCUGCGCGCGGGUGUGUUUUGCCUCCAGUCCUUGGAGCCAUUGUGCUUAACUGAAUUUUAUAACGCUGAUCGAUAUCUUGGUAAAAUAUUCAUUUUUAAACUAGCGGGCAGUGAAAUCUUUGCUUUGUGCUAAAGUCAACAGCGGAGCCAAUAAAGGCGGCGAGGGAACUCUGGCGGAGCUGCAGUCGGCGGGCUCCGGCCGGGCAUCGCCUCCACGGCUUGCGGCUUCCGGGCACCAGGGUUUUGUAGCCGGAAUCACGGCCAUUCCACCAACCUGAAACUGGUUCAAACGUGCAGUGAGUGGACUAGGCAUUGGCUUACCUGGCCAUGACACUUCCAGAGCAUCACCUCUUGCGUAACCUAGGAUGGUUAUACUUGAACUGUAGGUCAGGAUGAUGCAGAGUUGAUUUCUGUUGCCCCAGAAGGUUGGACCAGAACCAAUGAAUUGAAAUAAAAUCUGAAGAGUUUUCAACUAAACAUUAUCUUGAUUUCAUCUUCUCCGCAGAGACCCUGGAGCUAUGUCUUGGCACUCUCGACCACAAACUCCACAACCUAUCCAGAUUGGGGGUCAGAGUCACCACGAAGUUAAAGAAAUCCUAGAUGCUAAGUUAAAACAGGGGGCGUUGUAUUUUUUAAUCAGAUGGAAGCAUUUUUCACUGAGCCACGAUGAAUGGGUAGAGAGCUCGAAUGUGCAAGCAAAAGACUUAAUAAGAAAAUUCUACAAGUUGCACCCCUCCAAACCCCGAGCAAGAUCUUAGAGGGGGCAGUAUGUCAAGCAUAUUUCUGAGCAUUAAUUUAGUAUGCGUUUUGUGUUCAUACUUCCACCCCCCUCCUUUCUAUUAUCCCUCUUUUCUGAAUAAAGAUCUCUCUUCAAAGUUUCCCCACCUGUGGACUCUCAAGGAUGCAGGCUAUGCAAGUAAUCUUUUUAUUGUAAAGCAAGAAGUGUCUCUCCCCCGAGUUCCCAGCAAGGCAGGAACGUGUGGGAACCGAGAGAUGUUAUAGUAUCCAAAUGGGUAGUUGAUAGUAUGCUUUGAACCUUCUAUGCAAUUCACAUCUGUAUGUUAUGUUUUGAAGCUAUCUGAACUUUGUCUUUGAAGUAGCCUUUAAGAUGCCAUGCUAUGUAACAUUCUGUAUCACUUCCAAGGUAUCGUUCCUUGGGCAAGUGUUGGAUUAUCAAUAAAACGAGUCUUUGAUUUAAA